rnacentral:rRNA from 1 species
GUCUUCUUGAUUUAAAUAGGAAGUCUGACCUGCCCAGUGAAAUUUUAACGGCCGCGGUAUUUUGACCGUGCAAAGGUAGCAUAAUCAUUAGUCUUUUAAUAGAAGGCUGGUAUGAAAGGUUUGACGAAGUAAUAACUGUCUCAUACUUAAUAAUUUAAAACUUAAUUUUUAUGUUAAAAAGCUUAAAUGUUGUUGGAAGACGAGAAGACCCUAUAGAGCUUUAUGGAAUGUUUUUAAUUUUUAUUGUUUAUAAUGUCAAAUUAUUAAUUAUUUUAUUUUGUUGGGGUGACAAGAUAUAUAUAUUUAACUUUUAUAUUUAUUGUACAUUAAUUUAUGAUUAUUAGAUCCAAUUUUAUUGAUUAUUAGAAUAAGUUACCUUAGGGAUAACAGCGUAAUCCUCUUUUUGAGUUCAAAUUUACAAGAGGGCUUGCGACCUCGAUGUUGGAUUAAGAUAAUAGUUAGGUGUAGCAGCUUAAUGAUUAGGUCUGUUCGACCUUUAAAUUCUUACAUGAUCUGAGUUCAGACCGG